rnacentral:misc_RNA from 1 species
GAAAUUUGUAAAAUAUAAAGUUCCAAAAUCUUUGCCAUUUGGACCUUUUAUUGGAAACCACAUGAAUUAUUAGUUUGUUGCCUUGUUUAUUCUUGAAGAAGAUAGCUUUUCAGGGCAUUGUGCUUGAAGUCCUUAUAAUAUGACAUUCUGACUUCAAUGUAGGAUAUAUUAUGUAAUAUUGAGAAUUAUUUGUCAAUGAAACCUGAUUUAGUUGAUUUUAGGUGAAAGAUAGUGGUUUCAAUGAAUGUAAUGAAAUAGGCAUGUUAAUUUGUUCAAUAAUAAGGCAAAUGUUACUUUUGCAAGGGUUUUGUCAAGUUUUUGUAACAGCAACAUGGGAAAACCUGCUUUUGCAAAAUACCACCUGUAAUAAUGAUGAAGGCAUUGUUUAUUGUUCUGGUACAUAUGAU